GCCCGGAUGGUCUAGUGGUUAGUAACCCUUUACGAAUCUUAGCUACUGAAUAUUAAACUAAUUCCUCAUCAAGGUAUGAUUCUCGCUUUGGGUAGCCACACCUGAUCUGCGAGAGGCCCUGGGUUCGAAUCCCAGUUCGGGCC
rnacentral:tRNA from 1 species